UCCCAACCACACAUACAAAUCCAUAAAAUCAAUAGUCAUACAAAGUGACAAACACAAUAUCUCAACCAACAAACAAACUAAACUUAGUUGGUGUAAAUUUUUAGAAUCUCAAGAGAUUGGCAACCAUUAUGUUAUACAACAAUAACACUAAGAAAAACAAAUCAAAUAUAUGUCUAACAAAUUGAAAGUAAAGUCUACACCAAAAAAACCUAUUUGGUGAAGAUCCUUCCAAAUCUUCAGUGACAACCUGAAAAUUUAUACACAAGAAAGAUUGGUGAAGAUCCCAAUAAGAUAUAAAACACUAAAUGAAUAACUCAAAUCGUU
rnacentral:lncRNA from 1 species